rnacentral:rRNA from 1 species
UAGAGUUUGAUCAUGGCUCAGAACGAACGCUGGCGACAGGCUUAACACAUGCAAGUCGAGCGCCCCGCAAGGGGAGCGGCAGACGGGUGAGUAACGCGUGGGAAUCUACCCAUCCCUACGGAAUAACGCAUGGAAACGUGUGCUAAUACCGUAUACGCCCUUAGGGGGAAAGAUUUAUCGGGGAUGGAUGAGCCCGCGUUGGAUUAGCUAGUUGGUGGGGUAAAGGCCUACCAAGGCGACGAUCCAUAGCUGGUCUGAGAGGAUGAUCAGCCACAUUGGGACUGAGACACGGCCCAAACUCCUACGGGAGGCAGCAGUGGGGAAUAUUGGACAAUGGGCGCAAGCCUGAUCCAGCCAUGCCGCGUGAGUGAUGAAGGCCUUAGGGUUGUAAAGCUCUUUCACCGAUGAAGAUAAUGACGGUAGUCGGAGAGGAAGCCCCGGCUAACUUCGUGCCAGCAGCCGCGGUAAUACGAAGGGGGCUAGCGUUGUUCGGAAUUACUGGGCGUAAAGCGCAUGUAGGCGGAUAUUUAAGUCAGGGGUGAAAUCCCAGAGCUCAACUCUGGAACUGCCUUUGAUACUGGGUAUCUUGAGUAUGGAAGA